rnacentral:tRNA from 1 species
UCCUCAGUAGCUCAGAGGUAGAGCGGUCGGCUGUUAACCGAUUUGUCGUUGGUUCAAAUCCAACCUGAGGAG